UGAGCCUACACACCAUGGAUUUCCCAACAGUAACGAAAGUCCCAGCUUCUCUAUAGAGUUAUGGGAAAUUGAAGAGAUGAAAUAUACAUGCAAGCAUCCAACAUUAAAAACACGAUGAGGUGGACAUAAUCAUUAGGGUUAUACAUCAUCUUUAAAACUGUUUAAUGAUAAGGAUGCCUGCUCACUGCUGAAAGAAUAAAGCAAGAAAAGCGAAAGAUAGAACCACCGGGAUAUGCACAGCUUCUGAAGCUGUCAAAGCACGUGGCAGGCCAGGUGUGGCCACGGAGCAAAUUAUCUGCUUCUGAAGCUUAGUCAUUAAAGCAGACAAAUCUUAUAACUGGCAUUGCUUGUUUCUUCUCUGCCCUUCGUGUGAGCUGUGUGACUUUGGACAAGUCACUUACCCUCUCUGAGUGUCAGGAUUGGGAAUGAAGGAAGCUUAUGAAGUGGUGGUUCUAAAUAGUUCUGCAUGAUAUUUUGAAAGAAGAAAGAAUUCUGAGGCUAGAAAGAAAAUGAAAACCACUCUGCCAACUGAUCUCCAAGGCCUUCCAGCCCUCAUAUCCUAGCAGCCGAGAGAUAAUUGUCUGUGUUUUCUAGUCCUUCGACCUCUUGCAAAUGAUUCAGGCACCGAAAAGAAACCACACCCAGACGCCUGUCUGCGUGCUGCCUUCUGGGGGUACCAGAUGGCUCUGUUACCCCCCAAUGAUGAGAAAAGCUCUCCCUCCGGAUAUGAAACCCAUCAUAAAGAAAGAGCUUUCUCUCUUGGGCUGGACUUAUCCUCCCUGACACCGCCCCAUGGCGGGCAUCUUCCUUGCUGCUUUACUGUUUAUGUUCCCUUCAGAAAAUCCAGAGUCAUUGUGGUAAGAUGGGGAGUAAUUUUCCCUCUCGGCUAAAUGGUUUCAUGUGUAGUGUUUUGGUGUCCGUGAGGUUGAAAUAGAGCUUUCUGAGGCCCGGCAAAACUAUCUAUUCAUUUGAGUUAAUAACAACCGCUGACAAACACUAUCUUUUCCAUCUUGCUGAUAAAUUAUGCCUUUCGUGAUGGACAUCUGAUUGUAAAGGCCCUUGGCAGUACUUGAAGGCAUUUAACUUAAAACCAUUAUUAGACUUUAGUUUCACUCUCCCUUGAUACCUUAGUCCAAAAAGAAGGCCCGCAGGUACCUCUGAGAUAUUUAAGAAUACGCUGUCUUAGGAGACCACCCUCACACCAAAGGCAAAUACUUUAGAAGUUGUUUUGUAAUAUAAAAAGAGAGAGAGAGAAAGCAUGAGAAAGAGAGAUCUGGCUAGGUUUUUCAUGAUUACUAAUUUAGCAGACUCUAGGUUAUGUUUUAUUGAUAGCUCUAAACAUAAAUUUGCCUUUGGUAUACUUUGCUGCUGAUGCCUAAAAUAAGACGUGUAAGAACACAUAAUCCUAUGCCUACAGCUUUUCAGAAUAAUGUACAAAGGCUCUUUGUGGCAACCCAAGCAAGAGAUAUUUAAAUGGAGAAGCUCAAGGCUUAGGCAAUACUUCAAAUUUGGGCAGAAAGAGAAGUUGCUUGCUACUCACUAGUGUAUCACCCUAAGUCUCCGUGUUCAUGCAGCUUUAAACACGACACUUCUUCAAGUUUAUUCUUGAAUUAGGAAUACCUGUCUCACCCACAUUCUAUUAUUUGCAAUUGGAGAAUCACGUUGUGAGGCCCCAAGUUCACAGGAGAAAAAUAAUACAUAUUGCACCACUUAAGAGGGCGGUUAUUUAUGACAAAAACCUGCCAAGGUUACCAGCAUAAUAUGUGCUACGAGAUGCCUUUACGUGCUCAGAGAAACACAAAACUCCAUGCACGCAGCCUGUAAA
ensembl:lncRNA